rnacentral:misc_RNA from 1 species
GGAUAAUUAGAAUCUGACUGACGCAUUCAUAAUUAGGAGAACUGAAUGAUUUUAUAAUUUUCUUCAUGUAUUUUAGACUAUUAGACAUAUGGAUCCUAACGUUUUGGUCACCGGAGUACACAAAAAAGUUGUUCCGUUCCGACCUCCACCGUGUACACUCCAGUUCGCCGCCGCCACCUCGUUGCAGCUGACGUUACUUCACGGCCAGACAUCGAUUGCUGAGGUCAGCAUUCAACAGAAAAGCAAACUUCUAACAGCUCUAUUCACGUCCUACGUAUCACCGGCACCGGAAACAAUGGAGAUCCGGCCAGAUCUGCGCUAAGAAUCGGCGCAGCACGCGUUGUUGAAUGAAAUUUCUAGAGAAAGAAUAACUGACUUAUGAGUCACCGGAACUGGAAAUAACGGAAAGUCGACUAGGUCGGCGUUGGAAAUCGGAACGGCGACGCUGUU